UACAGAGACUGCAAGCGUUAUUCGGAUUCACUGGGCGUAAGGGUGCGCAGGCGGCCGUGUGUGUGAGGCGUGAAAGCCUGGAGCUUAACUCCAGAAUUGCACCUCAAACUACAUGGCUAGAGCAUUGGAGGAGGGUAGCAGAAUUCAUGGUGUAGCAGUGAAAUGCGUAGAUAUCAUGAGGAAUACCAGAGGCGAAGGCGGCUACCUGGACA
rnacentral:rRNA from 1 species